rnacentral:rRNA from 1 species
UGGGGAAUAUUGCGCAAUGGGCGAAAGCCUGACGCAGCGACGCCGCGUGAGGGAUGACGGCCUUCGGGUUGUAAACCUCUUUCAGCAGGGAAGAAGCGAAAGUGACGGUACCUGCAGAAGAAGCACCGGCUAACUACGUGCCAGCAGCCGCGGUAAUACGUAGGGUGCAAGCGUUGUCCGGAAUUAUUGGGCGUAAAGAGCUCGUAGGCGGUCUGUCGCGUCGGAUGUGAAAAUCCAGGGCUCAACCCUGGACCUGCAUUCGAUACGGGCAGACUAGAGUUCGGUAGGGGAGACUGGAAUUCCUGGUGUAGCGGUGAAAUGCGCAGAUAUCAGGAGGAACACCGGUGGCGAAGGCGGGUCUCUGGGCCGAAACUGACGCUGAGGAGCGAAAGCGUGGGGAGCAAACAGG